rnacentral:rRNA from 1 species
GAUGAACGCUGGCGGCGUGCCUAAUACAUGCAAGUCGAGCGAAUAGACGAGGAGCUUGCUCCUCUGACGUUAGCGGUGGACGGGUGAGUAACACGUGGAUAACCUACCUAUAAGACUGGGAUAACUUUGGGAAACCGGAGCUAAUACCGGAUAACAUGUUGAACCGCAAGGUUCAACAGUGAAAGACGGUCUUGCUGUCACUUAUAGAUGGAUCCGCGCCGCAUUAGCUAGUUGGUAAGGUAACGGCUUACCAAGGCAACGAUGCGUAGCCGACCUGGGAGGGUGAUCGGCCACACUGGAACUGAGACACGGUCCAGACUCCUACGGGAGGCAGCAGUAGGGAAUCUUCCGCAAUGGGCGAAAGCCUGACGGAGCAACGCCGCGUGAGUGAAGAAGGUCUUCGGAUCGUAAAACUCUGUUAUUAGGGAAGAACAAAUGUGUAAGUAACUAUGCACGUCUUGACGGUACCUAAUCAGAAAGCCACGGCUAACUACGUGCCAGCCGCCGCCGUAA